UCAAACUUGGUCAUUUAGAGGAAGUAAAAGUCGUAACAAGGUCUCCGUUGGUGAACCAGCGGAGGGAUCAUUAGAGAGAGCCUAAGAAACUCCCGAAAACCCCAUGUGAACAUACCGUACGUUGCCUCGGCGGUCCCCCCCCCGGGGGGGCCCGCCGGCGGCCCCCGAAACGAACCCUGUGAUAGAACUGAAUCUCUGAGCUUGUAUAAUAAAUUGAGUCAAAACUUUCAACAACGGAUCUCUUGGUUCUGGCAUCGAUGAAGAACGCAGC
rnacentral:misc_RNA from 1 species